rnacentral:rRNA from 1 species
UACGUAGGGGUCGAGCGUUGUCCGGAGUUACUGGGCGUAAAGCGCGUGCAGGUGGCUCAUUACGCCCGGCGUGAAAGCCCCCGGCUCAACCGGGGGAGGGUCGUCGGGGACGGGUGAGCUUGAGGGUAGCAGGGGCUGGUAGAAUUCCCGGUGUAGUGGUGAAAUGCGUAGAGAUCGGGAGGAAUACCCGUGGCGAAGGCGGCCAGCUGGGCUGACACUGACGCUGAGGCGCGAAAGCCAGGGGAGCGAACGGG